rnacentral:rRNA from 1 species
AGAGUUUGAUCCUGGCUCAGAUUGAACGCUGGCGGAAUGCUUUACACAUGCAGGUCGAACGGCAGCACGAGAGCUUGCUCUUGGUGGCGAGUGGCGAACGGGUGAGUAAUAUAUCGGAACGUAUCCAAUAAUGGGGGAUAACUAAUCGAAAGGUUAGCUAAUACCGCAUAAGCCCUACGGGGGAAAGCAGGGGAUCUUCGGACCUUGCGUUAAUGGAGCGGCUGAUAUCUGAUUAGCUAGUAGGUGAGGUAAAGGCUCACCUAGGCUUCGAUCAGUAGCUGGUCUGAGAGGACGACCAGCCACACUGGAACUGAGACACGGUCCAGACUCCUACGGGAGGCAGCAGUGGGGAAUUUUGGACAAUGGGCGCAAGCCUGAUCCAGCCAUUCCGCGUGAGUGAAGAAGGCCUUCGGGUUGUAAGGCUCUUUCGCAAGGGAAGAAACGAUACCGACGAAUAAUCGGUGUUAAUGACGGUACCUUGAUAAGAAGCACCGGCUAACUACGUGCCAGCAGCCGCGGUAAUACGUAGGGUGCGAGCGUUAAUCGGAAUUACUGGGCGUAAAGCGUGCGCAGGCGGUUUUGUAAGUCAGAUGUGAAAUCCCCGGGCUCAACCUGGGAACUGCGUUUGAAACUACAAGGCUAGAGUAUGGUAGAGGGGGGUAGAAUUCCACGUGUAGCAGUGAAAUGCGUAGAGAUGUGGAGGAAUACCAAUGGCGAAGGCAGCCCCCUGGACUAAUACUGACGCUCAUGCACGAAAGCGUGGGGAGCAAACAGGAUUAGAUACCCUGGUAGUCCACGCC